rnacentral:rRNA from 1 species
CCUACGGGAGGCAGCAGUGAGGAAUAUUGGUCAAUGGCCGGAAGGCUGAACCAGCCAAGCCGCGUGAGGGAGGAAGGCGCAGAGCGUCGCAGACCUCUUUUGCCGGGGGACAAAAGGCCGGACUCGUCCGGUCCUGAGGGUACCCGGAGAAAAAGCAUCGGCUAACUCCGUGCCAGCAGCCGCGGUAAGACGGAGGAUGCGGGGGUUAUCCGGAUUCAUUGGGUUUAAAGGGGGCGCAGGCGGGCCUUUAAGCCGGCGGUGAAAUCGCGGGGCUCAACCCCGCCGCGCCGUCGGAACGGGGGGCCUUGAGGGCGGCGGAGGCAUGCGGAAUGCGCGGGGGAGCGGGGAAAUGCAUAG